UACAGAGGUCUCAAGCGUUGUUCGGAUUCAUUGGGCGUAAAGGGUGCGUAGGCGGCGCGGUAAGUCGGAUGUGAAAUCUCGGAGCUUAACUUCGAAACUGCAUUCGAUACUGCCGUGCUUGAGGACUGGAGAGGAGACUGGAGUUUACGGUGUAGCGGUGAAAUGCGUAGAUAUCGUAAGGAAGACCAGUGGCGAAGGCGGGUCUCUGGACAGUUCCUGACGCUGAGGCACGAAGGUCAGGGGAGCAAACGGG
rnacentral:rRNA from 1 species